rnacentral:rRNA from 1 species
CGCAAGCCUGACGGAGCCAGACCGCGUGGGGGAGGAAGGCCCUUGGGUUGUAAACCCCUUUUCUCAGGGAAGAAACCUGACGGUACCUGAGGAAAAAGCCUCGGCUAACUCCGUGCCAGCAGCCGCGGUAAUACGGAGGAGGCAAGCGUUAUCCGGAAUUACUGGGCGUAAAGCGUUCGUAGGGGGCUCGUCAAGUCUGCUGUCAAAGGUCGGAGCUUAACUCCGGUUAGGCAGUGGAAACUGGUGCGCUAGAGGGCGACAGGGGUAGAGGGAAUUCCCAGUGUAGCGGUGAAAUGCGUAGAGAUUGGGAAGAACACCGGUGGCGAAAGCGCUCUACUGGGCCGCACCUGACCCUGAGGGACGAAAGCCAGGGGAGCG